GCAAUGUGAGAAAUCGCGACGGGGGGAUCCCAAGUGCCAUUCUUAACGGGAUGGCUUUUCAUUAGUGUAAAGAGCUUUUGGAAUAAGGGCUGGGCAAGACCGGUGCCAGCCGCCGCGGUAACACCGGCAGCUCUAGUGGUAGCAGUUUUUAUUGGGCCUAAAGCGUCCGUAGCCGGUUUAAUAAGUCUCUGGUGAAAUCCUGUAGCUUAACUGUGGGAAUUGCUGGAGAUACUAUUAGACUUGAGACCGGGAGAGGUUAGAGGUACUCCCAGGGUAGAGGUGAAAUUCUGUAAUCCUGGGAGGACCGCCUGUUGCGAAGGCGUCUAACUGGAACGGUUCUGACGGUGAGGGACGAAAGUUAGGGGCGCGAACCGGAUUAGAUACCCGGGUAGUCCUAACUGUAAACGAUGCGGACUUGGUGUUGGGGUGGCUUUGAGCUGCUCCAGUGCCGAAGGGAAGCUGUUAAGUCCGCCGCCUGGGAAGUACGGUCGCAAGACUGAAACUUAA
rnacentral:rRNA from 1 species